rnacentral:rRNA from 1 species
GUCCAGACUCCUACGGGAGGCAGCAGUGGGGGAUAUUGCACAAUGGGGGGAACCUUGAUGCAGCGACGCCGCGUGGGUGAAGGAGUCUUUCGGUAUGUAAAGCCCUAUCGGCAGGGAAGAAGCAAGACGGUACCUGACUAAGAAGCCCCGGCUAACUACGUGCCAGCAGCCGCGGUAAUACGUAGGUGGCAAGCGUUAUCCGGAUUUAUUGGGUGUAAAGGGCGUGUAGGCGGGAGCGCAAGUCAGAUGUGAAAACUCAGGGCUCAACCCUGAGCCUGCAUUUGAAACUGUGUUUCUUGAGUGCUGGAGAGGCAAUCGGAAUUCCGUGUGUAGCGGUGAAAUGCGUAGAUAUUAGGAGGAACACCAGUGGCGAAGGCGGCUUACUGGACUGUAACUGACGUUGAGGCUCGAAAGCGUGGGGAGCAAACAGGAUUAGAUACCCUCGUAA